rnacentral:lncRNA from 1 species
AACUUGGCACCUUUAGAUUUUCCGGAUAUAUAUAUAGGUGCUAAUUGAUUAAACUCUUGUUGGUCAAUUGAUUAAUUACCUAAAAUUUUUUAUUUAAUUGAUAUAGCUCCUAAAAUUUAAAGAGUAUAAAUUGUUUUGUGACAAUUUUUAUUCUUGACCCCUAAGAACCCUUUUCUUUAUAUUAUCAUUCUUCAGAAAUUGUUCUUAAUUUGAUAGUUUAAGUUUUUAAGCUUUGAUGAACAUAAAAGUAAACUUUUUUCCUUGUACAAUAAAUAAACUAAUUAUGAUGACGAUGUUAAAGGUCAUUUCAAACUUAACUAGUCAACGCUUAAUUAAGUUCUAAUAUUAAUUAAUACGUACUGACUUUUUACAAAAAAAAUUACAUUAAGAAAAUUAUUAUAUAAAAAUAUAUUUACAAAAUACAGUAAAAAUUCAUAUGCUAUCCAUUCGAAAAGAAGCAUCCAAAAUAGUAGUUGCACGUGACUAUUUUGAUCUUUUACUAAUUUUUGUGCUAUAUAAUGUAAUUGUUUUAUCCUUGUGUACAUGCCAUUAUUCUACCCUAAAACUUAUUAUCUUUUUUCUUCAUAAUUCAGCUACAUCUCAAGACAACAAUCUACCAAAAUCAUCACUCCAACUUUUAGUAUUUUAGUUGAUGAGGGAUUGAUUUGAGCUUGAAGAGCUCUAAUUUACAAAGACUGUUUGAUAGAAUAAACAAUAAUCUACAGAAAUGAUCUUCACUUGAUUACAACUUUUCGGCAUCGCCGUGUUGUAAGAUUGAGUGUCUCAAUUUGUGAAGUGCAUAGCUCUGUGGUGCUUCAAAAUCCUGUCCUCUGAUGAAUUCCGUUUGCACUGUGACACUGUUUUGGAGCUAUUUAUGUAUUGGAACGAUAUCCAAUAUUGAUCGAUAUGUUGGUGAUGAACUAAGGUAACAUUUUCUAGUUUAGGUAUUGAGUAGAUUUCUCUGUUUUGCAUCUUGGAUAGGUCUAGAUCGUUCAUUAUUGGAUUCCUGUAUUAAGAUCCAAUUCUUUUUUGAUUUUUGAGUGAUAUUUGAUUAUAUUUUGGCUUAAUUACAAUGUAUGAUCAAGUGCUAAAUUUAGCCUAGGAUAUAGAAUUAUCUUGAAAUGUUUUUAAUAUCAUCUAAUAUUUGAUUACAUAUAGUUGCUUCCUAGCUAAAUCUUAAUACUAUUAGCUAACUAGUUAUGAUGUGUUUUAUUCAAGUAAUAAAUUAGUUAAUUAGCUAAAUAGGACUAACGUAACCUAGCUUCUUUAGGUAAUAUGGCCAAGAUUAAUUGAUACAAGAAUAAUCAAUGGAGUCGUGUGAUCAAGUUGCAAGAUAUGGAAACAACUCAAAAACCUAGGCAAGAGCUUUUAACUAUCCGAAUUCAAUUCCAAUUUAUUUCGUGACAAAUUUACUUUAGUUUGCAACAAUCACUACAAAAUCCUCCAUCACUGGUUAUUGUCCUUGGCUUUAAACUGUUUAAUUGAUUCAGCAAUUCACAUGUUUAAUGUGCUCCACCCGAUCUUGUCACUAUGACUAAGAAUGUAGUGAUGGAUACCGUUGAUUGAUUCAUUUAGUCCAUAUAUGUGUAAUGAGAUUCAAUCGGACUAUUGGAAAUGACUUAUCAAAGCAUAACAAAAUUUACAACUGGUUGAUACAUGAACUGUUUGAAUUGAGCAACAUUUUUUUUUUAAAAAUUAUAUCUCAAUUCGAAUUUUACUUAAAAGUUUUAAAUACACACAAUUAAUUUCAAGCUUAUGCGUUUAUUCAUCACUAUUUUUUUUUUUUCCUUUUUUAAGAAAGCAUUUAUUCAUUACUUAAAAACAUUAAACAACAAACAUAUACAUACCGAUACAUAUCAACUUGAGAAAUCAAGGCCAUUAUUUGAAGUAACAAAAUACGUUUAGUUGGUAUGCCUUUAGCUUGAGGUUCUACAUCAUCAACCACGGCCUCACCAGCCAAUCUAGCAGCAAUGGACGCAACGACCACGGACGCAGCUACAACAACGGUUCCUGCAACCAUGGAGGCAUUGUUGGAGGAAUCUAGCUUGUCCUCUUCCAAAACCAUGGCGGUUGACUUCGUCAUGAAGUUCAUCAGUUUCCAUAAUAGCUUCUUCUACACAAAUAUAUAAUGUUAAAUUACAUUAGAAUCAACAUAUAUAUGAGAAGACACUAAUGAAACGAGUAGAAGUAAUAUAAUAACUACAUUAUUGCAAUAUGUAUCAUCAUCUAAUAAAGGUGUGGAUAUGAAGUAAAACUCACUGAAUUUUACAUCCCUAGCCGUAACCGUGUUUACAUCCUCUGAAGAGAGGAUGACAAUGGAGAACAGAAGACCGAGGAGGAUGAAAGGCUUGGAAUUCAUUAUCUUUGUAAAUUGGAAUAAUAAAAAGUAUUUGAAGAUGAGAUGGAGAUGAGAAUUAGUUUGGAUUUCAAAUGUAUUUAUAGUCUGAUGAUUGAAGAAGGUUAAGGUUGAAAUAAGGAUAUGAAUUGCUAGAGUAGUAAAAGUUUCCUUAUUACUAUAAUUUGUCGUUUUCUCAUAAUUUACAUUUGAAAAUAUGAUCAUAAAACUUUGUUACCAUUGAUGACGUUGCCUCUCGUUCAAAAACACGUAGAAAUUUAAUUCUUUAACGGAUGCCUAUAUAUUAUUUUGAUUUAUUCUUUUAGUACGAGUUAAAGAGCUAAUCAUAAUGAAACGUGAGUUGUUUGAUAAAGUUUCGUAAAGAAUUUGUUCAGUAACUAUUUGUGUUUUCUUAAAUAAAAUAAAAUAAUAAAAAAAUGUUUGCUAACAAUUACUGUUCUUGUGUAAUUAUUCAUUUGUGUUCAAGAGGGCUUUCACUCUAGUCAUUUUCAUGUAUGCUUCUUUUGGUCUAUUUUCUCGAUUAUUAUUUAAUUUUAACAAAAUGGGUAUUACAUGUAAUAGAAAUUUAAAAUUGUGUCAAUUUAGUUGAGAUACUUUAGUGCACUAUAAAAUUACAGUACCUAUCUUUUUAGAUGAACUUAACUCAUCUGACAUUUGAGUAUACUAAUAACCUCGAGAUUUAUGGUUCAAAUAUACUAACAGUCUUUGGCGUAUGCGUUUAUUCAACAAUUAUUACUUAAUUAGACUCGAGUACUGCACUUCAUUAAUACUAAAUGAAGCUUUAGGUAGUACACCCAAUUAAUCUCAAGCCUAUGGAUUUAUUUUCAUUACUUGACUUCUCUCCGUCAAUCCUUACUGUUCAAAGGUUUUUAGAUAAUCAACACAAGUAACUUAGUUAUAUUGGUUUUAAAAUUUAAUGGGUAGUUAUGUUGGAAAGGAAUUUUUGGAGGUAGGAGAAAAUUUGAAAAAGAAAAUUGAUGAAAGAGGGUACUUCUGUUUAUUAGGACACUUUUUAUUUUUUGGCUUCAUGCGAGUGGUAGGACAUCCCUCCUAAUUAUACUAGUUGGCACUUAGCUUGAUACCCCUAAAUGUACGUAUGACUAGAAUUUUGCCAACACGUUCUUAUCUAUUGGUUAAAAUGACUCUAAAUGUAUGUAUGACUAGAAUUUUGCCAACACAGUCUUCAUCUAUUGGUUAAAAUGACUCUAAAUGUACGUAUGACUAGAAUUUUGCCAACACAUUCUUCAUCUAUUGGUUAAAAUGAUUCUAUAGAACAUUCUUUACAAUUAUACUUCUUUAGAUAUUUCUUCAAUCUUCUUUGAAUAUCGAUCUCCUACAAAAUAUUAUUAAUUUCUCUAAAAUAAUGUAGUAAUUAAUACUUUCUAGAAAUUGAACUUUUAUUUGUGCUAGACCCAAAUAUUGUUAAUCCAAAAUCAAGUUCAUAUUUCAACAGGUUCCAAUCACAACAAACACACUUAUAAUUUUUAACUUUUUUAACUUUUGUACGAUUAUAAAAGGAUGGUGGCUGAAUAGAGAGUAAGAUUGAAACAAUGCUAGAAUAUAUCGAGAAUAAUAAUAAUGAAAAAAAGGGAGAGAUUAACACACACAUGAAUUAAGGUAAAAACCAAGGCAAUGAUCAUAUAAGAACUUAACUAGGAGUAACAAAUUUUCUUUUGUCACAUGAGAAAUCGAUGAUGGAAGUCGUACUAGAUAAUGACAUCUUUACUCGCAAAUAUGAAUUGGUACACCCCAUUGUUAUUAAAUAACAAUGGUUCGAAAUUCGAUGUUAGUUUAUGUUUCUAAAAUCGGGUCAGAAAUCUUUAGAUUUCAUCAUGUUAAGUUGGAUAUCCCUAACGCGAUGUCAAGAGUUAUGAUUCGAAAAUUAGGCAUUCGUAAAAUCGGGUCAGGGCUUGACUCAUGGCGUCAGACUUGCAUAGUUUUCCUAUUACAAGUGAUGGUGAAGUCAAGAGAAAGUCAAAGUGUGCCACUCAUGAUACGAAGUGUCAUUGAUGAUACGAAUUGCCAUCGAACUAGGGAUGUUUGACCGCCUGGUCAAGAAUGUCAUUCCGACUUUGAGGUUAACUAUUAAUGAAGAAAAGGAGCUAUGACUUCAGCAGAAGGUUAUAAAACACGAUAAGUUUGCGAGGGGCAGGUUAAAACGGAAGCAUACCUUUGUGAAAGGGCCAUUAUGAUAAUUUUCCCUAAAAAGAGUCGCAUUAUUAUAACUUAUAAUUGUAUAUUUAAGUGAACUUAAAAAAUAGUUCCAUUAUAACUUGUGAUUCAAGAUUUAAGUAAAUUGAAAGAUACAACAAAAUAUGCAAAAAUAACCAAACUUGUUAAAAUCAUAAUUUCCAAUUUCCUAAAUUAAAAAAUGUCUUUUUACUUCUACGUUAUUGUGGAUCUAACGAGUCAAAAGUUAAUUAUGUUAUAAUCUAACCACUCACCUCAAAGUUAGAUAGUAAGAACAUUAAGCUAGUUGAUUAUUUAAGAUGCAACAAUCAUAUAUACUUUUUUAACCUUUGUUAUAAGCUUGGACGUAGUUUCAAUACUCUCUCACAAAACUUAUUAAAGAUUGAUACAUACAUCCUACUAAACAGCUAUAAUCACAUUUGUUCAAUAUUUUUAAGAAAUCUUUUAAAACUAAACAUAUAGUACUGUGAUACUUAGAAAGUCGAUUCAAACACACUAGCCUAUUGUAUUAAUUUAGUUUAUUCUUAAGCUUUUAAUUUUUUUUCUGAAAAAGAUACGAAUUUUACUUGGUCUUCUUAGCCUUUAAAUUUGAACAUUCCAUUAUUUAUGGUUUGAUAAAAAAAAAAAAAAUCAAGCUAUUCAAUAUGCCUUUGCCAAAGAAAAAAAAAGGAAAAAUUUUUUGCCAGAGGGACUAGUGUCCACCAUUACAGUAUAUUUAUUCUGCAUCAAUACAUCAAAUAACUUUGAUCAUCUCUCUCAUUUAGCUCUAUUUCUAGCUAAGAAAAACUCAAUCUGAAAUAUGAGAGAAAAAUGAUCAUAAAUGAAAAUGAAGAUACAAAAAAGUCUUAAAAUUUUUAUUCAAAGAGGUGUGAAGUUAUAUUUAGUCAGAAGGAUUGUGUAAUCGUUCGUGAAAAUUUGAUGUUUUCCUUUAGCAUGAGAUUUUCAAACUUCUUUAGUUAAAUAAAUGGUUCCACUUCUUCGAACUCGCUAUCCUAACUAUAUAUUUUCUUAGGGGUUUACAUUGGUAACUUCAUUAGCAUAGUUGCAACAUUGGAUGCAUCGACCAUCACGAUUGAAACCACAGCAACCAUGUGAGCAACCAUUUCCACCUCCACCUCUACCGUACCCACCGCAUCUAUAGUAAUUUCCGCAGCCAGGGGUGUCCGCGGAGCUGCCGCGGCCGUCACUUAAAAGGUCUCUUGCUGCCACUUUUGGGGACAGGACAAGAACGACUACGAUGGAGAAAACAAGAGUCGUCACAAAAGGAAAAUGCUUGGAGUUGGAAUAAUUCAUUUUAAAAUGUUCUUUUCUUUCUAGUAAUUAACUUGUAAUUUUGGAGAGGGAAUGAGAAGAUUUUGCACCCUUCUCAUUCUAUUUUAUAGGCAGAAAUAAAAGACAAAAUUAGCUCCAAUUCAAAUAUGGCAACUAAAAACGACUAACCCCAUUCAAAUUUCUUUCUCUUUUUUCUUUUAAGUCAACCAUGUGAGAGUGAUGGAUAUUCGUGCAUCCAAAGGACAUAUAUGUAUUGGAGCUAAACCAUUGCUUAAAUUGACAUUUAAAUGAAAAAUAGAAUGAAUUGAAAAAAAAAUCCUUUUAGUGCUUCAAAUUAAAAUUAAAUACAAAUAAUAUUUAAGUGCAUUUGUAUCAUUGUUGAACUUUUUUUGUAUCCAACUCCAACCAGUACACUUCAUUUAGAAGGAAAAAAGAAAACAGGUUUGCCAAACUAUACAUAUGCACACAUAGUACAUAUAGUUACAUAUUUUCACAUACUCCUUUUUCUUUAAAAAGAAAUUUCUAAAUAACUUUUCCUCGAAGUGGGUUGGGCGAAACUAUUAAUAUUGUUAUGAUUUAUGUCAUUUCGUAGGGGUAGCUUUCAAUUCUUCUAUUAAAUGCUCUUUUGUCUGCCAAGUUCACUUAACAAAUCAAAUAAUACAAAAUGAACAUACAUUAUUGAUAGGUGAAUUCAAGGUAUGCUCUUCUUUUCGCAACUCCAUAAUAAGAAUAAAGAAUAAUUUUUAUAAAAGAGAAGAAUUUACCAUUGAAUAAUUGAGUGGAAAGAAGAAUAUAAGUGUAACUUAAAGAUGCAUUUAGUUAAUAUGGAAAAAAUUGAACUCGUUGCAGCUUAAUUUGAAUUUCUAUUAUCAAAGUACUGCAUCCCUCUAUGAACACAUUUGUCGUUCAAAGCAAAAGGCUAAGAAGAAGAUUAUCAUCUUUAAUUCGGUGCUGUCUCCCUUCUACCAUUUGGAACGAAAGAAAUAACAGAAUUUCCAACGAUAAAGAAAAAUUCAUUUAUAAAGUUUAGAAAGAUAUUUAGGCUUUAACCGGUCUCUAGACUCGCAAAUUCCCCGGUUCAUCAACUAUGGUGCCAACACUAUAUUUGUUCCUUUUGGGUUGUUAGGGGCUUCUCUCUAGCCCUUUUUAUUUUUUCUGCUUAAUUCUUGUAGUUAUUUUUUAUCAUUAAUGAAGCAGAAAUAAUGAUGGUACUAAAGGGUGUUGAUCUAGUAGAGAUGCUCAAGUGAUCCAAAAUCGUAUUCUUAAAAAAAAAAAGAAGAUGGAUUUAAGUAUUAUUAUAAAACAGUUUAAAAGCAAAUAUAAUUAAAAAUAAAAAAUAACCAUAUAAUUCUCUUCUUUCCAAACUCUUUCUAUUAUAACCUCAAGUAUAAUGUUCAACUUGCCACGAAAAAGUUCUCUCGUAUAAGCCUACUGUAAACUUGUAGUCUAGGAUAUUUAAUAGUGUAAGAUUUCAUCUUAAAACCAAUUGAGAAUGAGAUGAGUAACUAUCUGUUUUAUAAUGAGUAUAAAUACAAAUCUUUAGUUUUUUCAACCCGGGAUUCUUAAUCGUUGAUCGGAUUUCAAUUUCAUUUUAUUGGAUCAAAUACAUGUUUGGACUCUUUAUAUGGAUCAUGACACCAUAUUCAAUCGACAACAAAAAGACUAACUCGUCUAUCUUAUAAGUAUGGUUAGUCUCAUGGUUUUUUCGAUGUACGUUUCUCAAUAUUUGAACAUAAGAUAAGAAAAAACCUGAUACUUUUUUUUGGAGAAAGCUACCAUAGGUAGCGAAGAAUAUGCCUGGAAUGGCUAGUUUGUAAUCUCUGUUAAAUAAAAUGUAAAUUUUAACUGAAUGGUAUGAGCUUUAAAUACCAUAUCAGAAUCAUUUCACUUUAUAACUAGGUGUUGCUUUUGUAAAGAAAAACUCAUGAAAUCUUCGAGAAUAGUCACUUUUCUAUAGAUGUGGACGAUUUUGUUGAACCAUGUAGAUCACUGCAUUCACCUUCCUCUUCUCUUUGCAUUUGUUUGCUUUUAUUUGUGAGAUUUUGAACCUAGCAAAACAGAUCGCCGUUGAAGAGUUUAAAUAUAGGUUGAAGAAAAAGAAAGUUUAUAAAGAAUUUUGUUUCUGUGUGUUGGAAAAAGAGAAUAUAAUAGCAAAAAUGAUUUUGUGUCAAAACUAAACAAUUUUGCUUCAUUAUUUCUCACUUACAUGGUUGUCAUUCAGCAUUAAAACAUAGAAGCUUUCGCAUCAUUCAUUUCACCAACCUAAUUAGUAGCAUUUUGGGCUUCAUUCCUUAACUUUCUUCUUUGUUUUGGGCCUGUAAAAGAAAAUAACCCAACAAAAGUGUGGUGUACGAGCAUUAAAGAUUUAUCAAGAAAGCCCUUUUUUCAGAGCUUCAAGAUUCUGAAUUUCGAGUAACAAUGGCAGUAGCAAGGUAUGAGAUAGAGAAUUUUUAUAGAAAUGGUGAUUUUGGUUUGUGGAAAGUCAAAAUCAAAGCCAUUCUAGGCCAACAGAAGGCUCACAAGGCCCUUUUGGAUCCAUCAACCUUACCAAAUAUAGUCACAACACAAGAAAAUGAAGAUUAGGAAUGGUAGCUAUAGAACCUUGGUUUUGAAUUUCAAAAACAAGUUAUUGACCAAGACACUGCCUACAAGAUGUGCCGCUAAGCUGGAAGGAUUUUUUUGCCACCAAAGAUCUCCAAAACAAAAUGUUCUUGAGAGAAAUUCUUUACAUUCUAGAUGGACUCUUGGAAGAGCUAGCCUCACUAACAACCUAGAAUAUGAAUUUAGAAAAUAGUUUAUGAUUUCAAGGAUCUUGGAGAAAAGGUAGGUGAUGAGAAUGAGGCCUAUGUCCCUUUGAGUUCACUAACAUAAACUAGAGAAGUGAAAAAAGCUUUGAAGUGUGGCAGUGGUAUCGUACAGUCUCUAAUGUAUAAUCCUCCGAUGCUUUCUCUUAGUUUCUAACUUUGACUUGAGGGCUGAUGAGCGCGCUUAUUUUGAAACCAAAAGAGUCUAGGUCUUUAAUUUGUAGAUGGGGAAGAGAUGAUCAAUUUGAGAAGAGACAAUUUGUUUGUUUGUUGGAGAAGAGUUGGUCUAUCCAUUGAGAGAUGCCUAGUUCGUUGAAGAAGAUCACUUUGUUGAAUUCUGAAUUCUCUUAUCUAUAGAUCUAUGUGUGAAGGUCCCAAAUGAAGGUAGUCUCUUUUAUUUAUACAGAGUUUUGGGAGGACUAUAUUUUGAUUGUUUUGUGUUUAUUUCAUAAAUAGAGCUCCUUUACUUCACCAUCUUCUUAUUCGAACACUUGUCAUAUUUGUUGGGAUUCUCUCAUUCUGAUGUUUCUUUCCUCCUUUACUCAUGCAGAAAUUUGUAAGAAAUUGAGAGUUUGGAUAGGUUCCAUCCUAAAAAUAUUGGAAGCUUAGCUUAUAAGAGCUAGUGGAGUUUUUAAUUACUAAAGCAACAACAAAUUGAGCGGGUGUAAUCAACUUACGAGUUUAGACUUCAUGUAAUCAAUUAAUAGGUGGAAUUUCACGUGUAAUAUCUUCAUAUAAGAAGUGUGUGAAUUUAGACUUAAGCCACAACCUUCUAAUUAGCGAAAUGCCAUUGAUUUUCAUUUAAAUUUUUGCUCUACCGUUUCUUUGAUUUAUCGUUAAAAUGAAUUUAUCGACAUCAAAUUCCAUUGUUUGUUCAUAUAAAUAUUUCUAUAGUCAAUUACACGAAACAUUACCUAGCGGUGGGAGCGUUUUUAUGGAAAGAAAAAAAAACAAAAACACCACCGAUAGAAAUUUAUAAAUUCUCUUGAAAAAUAAAUUUAACUUUUCUUUUAAAUCUAUAAUUUAGUGAUAAAAUUUAACAUUGAUAGACCGUAAGCUACACAAAAUAUUCAACAAUGAAACAAUCUUUCUUAUUAACAAGUACACUAUAAAAUAACAAAAUGAUAUACAUAUUAUUCUAAUUACUUUCCAUAUCAAAUUCAACUUUUUUCAAGUCUAUCAGUGAUAAAAACUUAUCAUCAAUGGACUCUAAUAAAAAAAAAAAAAAAAAAAAACAAUGGAACUACACAUUUCUUACUUCAACUUUCUUCCAAUCUACCAAUGAAAGAGACCGAAACAUAUCACAUAUAGACAAUCAAAUACACAACAAAAACAUAAUUGAAACUAUAUAUUGUCUUAUUUUUCAUUAAAAAUUCUUUAAGUCUAACACUAAUCGAAACUCAUGAUCGAUAAAUUAUAAAGAACAGAAAAAAAACAAAAACAAAACAAAAGAAAAAGAAACUAUGCGUUCUCUAACUUUUUAUGAAAAUAUAUUCAACUUUCUUCUGCUCUAUCUACUCUAUCACUGAUAGAAACAUAUAAUCGAUAAACAAUACUUAUCAACAAUCUCAAAAAACAACAUUUUAACUAUGUAUUGUCUUACUUUUCAUGAAGAUAAAUUCAAUUUUCUUCAUGUCUCCUGGUGAUAGAAACAUAUAAUUCGUAGACUCGAAACAAAAAAAACAAUAAAACUACAUUUUCUCACUUUUCAUGAAAAUAUAUUUAGUUUUUAAAAAUUUAUUGCUCAUGAACACUAAUCAACAACAUCAAAAAAAGCAGCAUAAAAAACUGUAUAUUUUACUUUUCGUGAUAAUGAAUUCAACAUUCUUCAAGUUUAUUGUGAUACGAACCUACUCGAUAGACUUUAGUUGAACAAGUUAACAAAAAAAAAAAAAAAAAAACACACACACACACAUGAAACUAUACAACACUUCUCAUGAUAAAUAUUAAAUUUUUUUCUAACAUUGAUAGACCCUUAUAGAAAAAACAGCAAAGAAACUAUAAAUUUUUUCUUACUUUUUAUGAAAAUAAAUUCAACUUUUAUUAUUAGGGAUAGAAACCUAUCUAGAUUCUAAUGAACAAAAAAACAAUACAAUGGCAAUCACUUUAAAUAUAUUUUUUUAAUGAUGACAUGGUUUUAUAAUUGAUGAAAGUUUAUCGAUAAUAAAAAUUUAUCAUUUAUAGAAGCAUUAACGAUCCAUUUCUACGAAUUAUUCAAAACUAAAAAAAAAAUUGUGAAACAUGGUAAUAUGUUUUCAAGGAUAUGCGUAUUUUCAUCGUCAAUAGAAGUUUUAUCGAUGAUAACAGUGUAUCAUUGAUAUAGUUUGGAACUAUUAUUAAUCAAUUUUUUUUUAUCAUUUAUUGAAAAUAAAGAAAAUCAUGAACCACACCAAUAUAUUUUCAAUGAUAUGCUUUUAUUGUUGAUAACUUUUAUCGUUUAUAAAAGUAUAUCAUUGAUAGUGUGCUAUCACUAAUAAAUUUGGGAUACAAAAAUAUUUGUGAUACAGGUAUAGCAACAAAAAUUUGCUAUCAUCCAUAAAUCGAUAUUGUUUUUUUUAUAAAAUCAUAUUUAUGAUACAAAAGCAUUGAUGAUAAUAAUAUGGUAUUAAUGAGAUAGAUUUCUAUAAAAUGAGUCUAUUAUCAAUAAUAAAUUGUUAUCAUGUCUAUAAAUGAUAGACUUUAAAAAGUGAAAAUUUUGUGGCUUCAAUGAGGAUUAAAGAAAUUUUUUGUUAUAUUUACAAUUAGUUUUUUUGAAAAAAGAGUCUAUCAAUGAUAAAAUUUUUAAAGCAAUUUAUAUCAAUGAUAAACUUCUAUAAGUGAGAAUUUCGUGCCUCAAGCAUAUUUUGAUGUCUUUAAUAGACUUUUUUUUUUUUUUUUGCACAUUUACAUGGGUUGAAGGUAAAUUUUGUUAUAUUUACCAUUAGUUUUAAGUUUUGCUAUUUUCUUAAUAAUAAUUUUAACCUUGUUUUGGUGCAUAUGCCAGAACCCCUUAAAUUAAUCUAUUUUUAAAAUAGAUUUUUAUUUAAGUUUGAUCCAAUUUAUUUUUUAAAAUAUAGAAUGACCAUUGCAUUUUUUUAUUGGCCAAUUUCCAUGUCUUUAAUUAAUAUUAAUUUGAGUUCAUCUAAAAUUUUAAUAAGUCUCAAAUUAAUAGGGUGAGAAUUUGUGAUUAAUUGAAAAUUUCUUAGACGACAAAAAAAAAAAAGAUUGGCCAUUUAUUUUAAGUAUAUAAAUGGCGAUGCAAAUUAAUAUAUACACGUUCAAUAAAAAAUAUAAAGAGAGGAAUUUUCAAAAAUAACAAAUUUUACAAAAUAUUUACAACUUAUAGUAAAUUCUAUAACUAAUAGUCAUUGAUAUGCUAUUGUGAUAGAAGACUAUCGUUGAUAUAAUUCAAAAUUUUGUUUUAACUUGUUAAUAUUUUAAUUUAUUUUUAUAUUUUUAGAAAUGCUCCAAAUAUAAAAAGAGAACUAUGUAAAGAAAUGUCACAAAGUUAGAAAUUAUCUUUUAGGAUGCCUCCAAAAUUUUAAGGAUGCUCUUCGUCCGUGCAUUAUAGAAUGUUCGAAAAUCUGUAGUUGUUGCAUUUUUAUUGGAAAAAAUGUAAAGAAGUAUUAAAUUUUUUUAAAAAAAUUGCAUUUGGUUUUGAGUUAAAAAAGAAGAGGAAAUAAGUAUUAAAUUUAAAAAAUGGUUGGUGUUGAAAUAAGUAUUAAAAUAAAUAAAAUAUUAUAUAUAUAAAAAAUAAGAAAAUUUGUCGAUAAUAGAAAAUUUGACAAAAUAUUUACAUUUUUUUAUGGAAAAUAAGGCUUAAUAAAUUUUAGAAUUUUUUUUAGUGAUUUUUUCUUUGGAGUAACUAGUUUGUUUUUAGUUCUAUUUGUAAAAUAACUCUAUAAAAUAAUAUAAAUAAAAAUUAAGAAAAUAAAACAUAAAAAAUCUCACAAACUCCCCAUUCUUCUAUUUAUUUGAAAAAAAUUUCAACUUGUAUCUUACUAAACUCAAUAAAUAUCACUACUUAUAGACAAUUUGACAAACUCGAUUAUAUUGACUACUACGAGUUUGAUAUCUUCAAUACAUAUAAUAAAAAAAUUGUGAAAUAACACAUGGCACAAUAGGACACCAACCAGAAUGAUAAUUGAUAAUGGAAAACAUUUUUUGUUGUCAGAGACACAAAAUCAAAUAUUUCCACUCAAUCAUAUUUUACUAAAUUGUUUUAGAACUAAUAUUUAAAUAAACAUUUUGGAAAUGUGAAAUAUUCAUUUAAUUUUUAUUUAAAAAGCCAGAUUUUGUUUUUGCUUUUCGAAUACAACUAAGAAUUGAACGAUCGUAUUUAAAAAAAUAUGCAAAUUAUUGAAAGUUAAAAAAAACACAAUAACAAAAAAAACAUAUAACAGAUGUACCAAACCGAAACUCUAAUUUUUUAAACAUUAAACAUUAAAAAUCAAAUAGUUAUUAAACGAUACACAAACAUUUAUUUUUAAUAGUACAAAUUAUAAAGGUACAGUGCAUGUGGAAGUGUGUUGUUUUAAUCGUUGAAUUUUCCAAUACCAUAAAAGAGAAACGCAAUGACACUGGCUGAGUUUUAGUCGUUUCCAAUAAAUAUUACUUUCUUGAAAUCUAUUUUUAUCAUUAAAUUUAAAAUUUAUCAAUGUUACAAUACGUGAAAUCCUAUAGGCUUCUCUAAGUAUUCAACGACCAACGAAAAGCUUACACUCACGAGCACGUGACAUUCUACUUUUAACCUUAAGAGAAUAAACAUACCCAACUAAUUACGACUAAGUUAAAUUUAUUUGACAAGAUACAUAUAAUUCGAACCUUGCUACUAAAAGUAUUAACAAGUUUUUUUUUCAAUAUUGCGCGAAUAAAAAUUUGAACAUGUUUAAACAAUAUAUGUAAAUAAUGUUUUAACCUAUUGAACCAUGCUCAAAUGAAAAGGAAGUAUGAGGUUACAACAAAUUUGACCAACUUUUCGUAUAGCAACAAUAUUAAAGACUUGAUUAUAUCAACUUUUCUAAUGUUUAUAAAAACUUUUUUUUACAUCUCUAAAGAACUUUUUCUUUCAAAUGUGGGGUUAGGGCAAUAUAUUUUUAUAAUGUCGUUUGGUGUGGGUGUAGCUUUCAGUCCUUCUAUCAAAUUGGUUUCUUUGUACGCCAACUUUGACUUAACAAGUCAAGAAUAAAACGAAUUUCAAAAGAAAAAAGGACCAAAUUCCACUUUAAUUAAUUACCUCUAUUCCAACAUAUCAUGUAGAAAUUUUCAUACCAUGAAAAAGAUGUAUUAUAAACUUUGGAAGGGGUUAAGAUUUUAAGAAUCCUAUUUUGUGCAGUUUUGUAUUUGGUUUUUUGUACACCUAAUAUAUGCUCUGUAUUUAUUAUAUUAUCUCAUAAGCUUGGUAUGCGUGAGAGUUAGAGGUCCAAGAAUACAUGUGUAACCCUAAAACUAAUUUUUAGUUAAAAGAAACAAAUUAAUCUAUAUAAUUGACAUUAAAAAGUUUAUUAGUGAUAGAUUUUGGUUUUAAGAAUUAUUGAUAGAAAUUUCUGUUUGACUAACUUCAUCCUUUCCUCCCUCAUUUCAAAUCUCUUUUAUUCUCAAUUUUGAUCACUGACUUUUCUUUUCCUUUCGUAACUUGCUUGUAAGUAGAUUUUUAAAAGUUUUCGUCACCUAAAAUAAUAAAAUAGAGAAAAGCAAAUCAAUGUUUAAAAUUUGAGUGAAAUUAAAGGCUAUGACCUUUCAAAGUUUAAACAUAUAUACAAAAUAGUUUUCAUGUUAUAUUAUAAGUAAAAGUCUUAAAACUUUGUUUAAUAUAUAUAAUUAGUUAACAUGUUAGCUUCAUGAAAAACGUAUAAAAAAUGAAGGAUCAUGAAAUAUUUGGUACAACAAGUCUUGCAUGUAACGAAGAUAAUAUUAUUAUUUGCAAUUGCAUGAAGUUUCACGCAAACUAAGAAAAAAGAAGAACGAAGAAACAAACUCUUGCAUGUCUUUUAGUUUUCUUUUUCUAUUUCCUUGUUUUUGAUUUUUCCUAUACCACAAAGAAGAGAAGUGGAUUUAUUAGAUACUUUAGAAUAUCUCAACUCAAAUACAUCUAGUAGUGAUGCAUUCAUUCAAUAAAAAAUAGCUUUGCACGAAACAAAAAGAGGAAUCUAUAAAGCAAAAUAAUUGAAUCUUGUGCUAAAUGUCACCAUGUGUCCGAGACGAUGCAGAGUGACCAACGUUUUCAAAUUAAAUCGUUAGUUUUAAAUCAAAUCUUGGACUACAAAAAAUGUGUUCUCUCCUCAAGAAUUUUAGAAAAUCGGAUUUUCAAAUUUUCUAGAUUCUGUCUUAGAAUUUUGUUAAAGGAAAAUGAUAUAUAAGUUAAUAUAAAAGAUAGGAAACCUUAUGAAAUGAUUGAUUAAAAUUUGAAUGUUUGAAAAGCAUAAAAAAUAUAUAUAUAACAUUAUAGACAAAUUUUCUAAAUUAUUAAAAAGGAGUUUUUAUUUUAAAACAUAGAGAACUUUAAAUUGGUAGGAUUUUAAAACAUUGAAAAUAUUAAUUAAGAAAUAGUUGAAAUUUUUAUAUAAGAAAAAAUAUGAGGCUUAAUAGAAAAAUUAAAUAAGUAAAAAUAAGGAUAAAUAAGCAUCAUAGAAAAUUAUGCAAAUAUAAAAUAACAUAUUGAGAUUUUAAUAAAAACAUAUGAGUGAUCGAUCUAGAACUUUAAAAGAAUCAAUUCCUUCACCUCAAUAAUUCUAGAAAAUCGAACUCUUAAAUUUUUUAUAUUUCGUUUUCGAAAAUAAAUAUGCUCGAAACAAAAAAUUGUAAAACAUAUAACUUAACGAACUUUUAAAUGUCUCAAGAGAAAUUUAACAUGUAAAUAAAUAUUAAAUUGAACAUGAAAGUAGCCAUUAAUGAAAAAUAUUAUGUAAACAACCAAUAUCAUUUAAAGAAGCAUAACCAUACAUUAAUAAACAUUAAAAAAACACAUUAACAUUCUAUAGAAAAAUGAUUGGAAAUCGAACUUCUAAAGAAUCGACUUCUCACCUUAAAAAUUCUAAAAAAUUGAUCUUCCAAAUUUUGGAGAUUAAGAAAAUUAAAUGUUAACAAAUUUAAACAAUUAUUAGCAAUAACAUAUUAAAUUGACCACAAAACAAGAGUGUAAAAUAUAUUAAAUAACAUAUAAAAGAAGAUAAUAUUAAUUAAAGAAGCAAUAAUCAAUGCCAUAAGAAGAAAAAAAUAAUUAAAUAAAUAAAAGUGCUAAUUACAAAAAAAGUAAUGAUACAAUAUAUAGAAAAUAAAGCUUAAGAAUAAAUUAAAAAAAUAAAAAAGAGAUAAACAACGAGAUAGGAAGAAAUAUGUUAUAAUAUAUAUAUAAGAGAAGUUCAAAAGAUAAUAAAUAAAUAAUUAUAAGAGAAAGAAAAGUAGAUAAAUAAGAACAAGAAAAAUAGAUAAAUAUUUAAUCAUUUAGUUUUUGUUUUGCAUUUCUUUAAAUGGAAGCUUGAAGAAAAAUAAAUAAAGUAAUGAGAAUAGUAAGAAUAAUAAAGAAUAAAGAAUAAAGAACUUUGAAGAAAAAUAAACAAAAUAAUAAGAUGAAGAAAAAGAAAAGAAAAGAAAGAAAGGUUGAAAUCCUAACUCACGUUUUAAACUGUGGAUCAUUUCCACCAAAACUCUACCAUAUACCUACAUUUAAAUUAGAGUUAUAUUUUUAGAAAAUUGUAUCAGAUGACAAGAAAAAAUUAAAAAAAUACAUUCUACAGUACCCUACAUUUAACUAAAAAAUAUUUUAAUUUAUUUUUUGUGUUGCAUCUCCCAUGAUCAAAAAAGAAAGAAUUAUCAAUGGCAAAAAAAAAGCUUCUUCAAAUGGCUAGUUUUUUUUAAUUUGAAAAUAAUACUAAUUUUGACCUACAUCUCAAAAUGGCAUGGAGCCUCUAAUAAACAAAACAAAAUUAAAAAGAUACUAUAUUUAGUAUUUUUCCACCUACUUAAUUAGACUAACUAAUUGAUUUAGUUACUCCAACUAAACAAUUAGUUAAAUAAAUUUAUUUUUUACAAAGUUGGUUAAUCACAAAAUUAAAAAUUUUAGCCAAUUUAAAGCAAACAUUAAUCUAGCAAUUCAUCCAACAAAAUUAGGUGACUGAAAUAAUUUUGGUACCCCAUACUCCAUAGAGCUGACAAGAGAGAGUAGUGCUCCUGAUUUCAUUGCUUCUUUUUAUAUUAGAUAGUAGUACAUUGUUCUAUUUUUAAAAAUUAUUUACAACAUAUACCAAAUUCUAUCACUCAUAGUCAUUCAUAUGAUAUAGUGAUAAAAAAAUAUGAUUGGUAGAAUCUUUCGUAAUAUUUUAAUUUAUUUUGUAAUUUUUAAAAAUAUCUCUAUUUAAAUAAUAUUUUGUUUCUUACGUGUUUGAGUUUUCUUUUCCCUUUGUUUUUGGCUUCCUCUCUCUCUUUUCUCAUAUUAAAGUAAUGCUCUUGAUUUGUGUGAGAUUGUUUUUCUCUUCCUUUAUUAUUUUGUUUUUUAUUGUGGGGUUAUUUUCUACUUCUUUCUUUUAACAUUUGGUUUUAAGUCCUAUGGUUGAACUUUGGCAAAUUGGAAAUGGUAGCCUCCAAGCACCGUAAAAAAAACAUUAGAUAUUGCUCUUGCUUUUAAAGCAUUAUAUUUCAAGUAACAACACUUACGAUUUAGACGUGGGUAACAUAAAAGUUUUGAGAGAUUAUUCUUUUGUAAUUGGGUCAGGGAGAGAACUGCUUUAUGUGAUUGUUUAAAUUUAUCUCAAUAGAGACUUCAAAUUCCCCAAAUUUAUUAUAUAAGUGAAACGUAAUAAUUAAUUAAUUAGACACGGCAUUGGAUAGUUUAUAUAAAUAAUUAAUAAUAAAGCAGCCACAUUUCUUUGAUCAGAACCAUAUUAUACGUUGUUCAUUGUAAUACGAUUAACAUAUAUAAUAAUUAAUCUCACGAGCAUAUAUGCAUUUAUUCAUAACUUACAAACACCAACUUCAGAAAAUAAAGCCAUUUUAUUUAAUGUUACACAAUAACAUGUGCUUAAUUGUUAGGCUUAGCUUGAGGCUUUCCAUCAACAAUACCAGCCUCACCAGCAAAGCUGCAGCACCUGAUGCAACGGCCGCGAAAGCAUUCGCAACAACCUCGGUUGCAACCGUGGAGGCAUUCCGCAAGGUUCCGAGAAUGAGCUCCUCCAUAACUGUGGCGCUCCACAUUGUCAACUUCACCAGUUUCCAUCGUAGCUUCUUCUGCAAAGUAAAUCAUUGAUAUAAUCAUUAUAUACUACCACAAAUUUGACCUUUAUUGAUAACUAAAAAUAUUAUCAAUGAAGCAGUGUCAACAAAACUUUUGACAUCAACAAAAAUAAUUUUGUUAUCGGCAAAAAUCAACGUCAAAUACAAAUAGUUUCUGUUGAUGUUUAUUGUCCAUCAACUAAUUAAAAAACCUACAUUGAUUUUAAGCUGUAAUUAAAAAUUUCAUUGGCGGUUUGUUUGUCAUAAACCUCAACUAAAUAAAAAAAUUAUUUGUCAUAAGCCCAAGCUGUGGUAUAGUACAUAACACUAAUUGAAGGAAUUAAAAGUAGCGAGUAUACAUCGCAUUGCAGGUUUAAAAAAUGAAACUCACUCAAUUUCGCAUCCCUUGCUGUAACAGUUAUCGCCUCCGAGGAAAAGAGGACGACGGCAAAAAGAAGACCGAGCAAGAUGAAGGACUUGGAACUCAUUCUCUCUCUAUUGAUUAGAGAUAUGAUCAAUUUAAUUUGGAGGUGAUGGGGUGAGAAAGUAUUGUAGGAUUGCAAUUGUAUUUAUAGUAGUGAUGACAUAAAAUUCAUGUCAAGGUGGGACAUCCUUAGUCCCAAUUUUCAAAGGUAGAUAAGUUUUUGUGGAAUAAUUAUAAUGAGCUUAUCUUUAUAAGAAAAGUAGAACAAAGGUUUCUUACCGUGGAGUCUGUUCAAUGGACAGGCACGUCAAAGUAAUAGACUCAGAUUAGAUAAUGUUAAAAAUGUUAAUUGUACAAUUUAACAUUGUUGGGUUCCAUCAACUUUAGUUAUUUCUUUAGGUUAUACAUUCGUAGAAAUCUUUUUGUAUUAAAAUAACAUCAUUUAAUCACAGUUUGGAGGGGCUAAAAAAUAAGUAUAUCAACGGUAGACUCCUGUUCACUAAUAUAUGUACCUGAUCUAUAUUCUCAAGUGUCUAAUAUAUGUACCUGAUCUAUAUUCUCAAGUGUUUUUUAUAUAUAUAUCUAGUUUUUGUAAAUAUUUUUGUUUAUUUUGUUAUAUAUUUGAAAAUGUUAAGCGGAUUUCUUCACCUAUUUUUAGAUAAAAGAAUUUAUUGAAUCACACGCCAAGAUCUAGUCUUAAAACAAUUUAGUUAAAAAUUUCUGAAAUAAAUAAAUAAACGAACGAAAAUAAGAAGUUAAAAGAAAGUUAGGAAAUGAACAACCAAGUAAUAUAAACAUAUAGCGAUCAGGACAGAGAAUAUUUAUUCUAAUAUUACAAAACGGUGUCAUUAGGUUCGAAAGAUGUGUUUUUCAAUCUAAAACAAAAUGGUUAGAAAUUUCAAGUCUUCUUUCUGUGUUAAGGGCAAAUUAAAGAGAAAAAUAAUCUUUGAUCAUAUUAACAAAUAAUUGAAAGAAUAAUGUAUAGUACAUAUGCAUGAUCCAUUAUGUUGCAUGCAUUUCUUAAAUGAAUAAAUAGAAUUUUGAAAUGUAAAAAAAUGAUGAGAGAUCAGACAAAGAUAUAUCCAACUCUUCAAAAAAUGGUUUUGUUUUUGGAACUUCUGUUCUAUAGUUGGGAAAAAGAUCAGUCCGUGGAUGGAGAAUUAACAGGAGCAGCUUCAACACACGCACGAGGAUUUUGCUUUCCAGUAAUGAUGGGAAUCACAUUUCUACACUGAGACGUAAUCCGUCCUUGAGUUCCGAUGUAAGCGAGGUCAAUAUCUGUAACUUCCACACCUUCACACGAAAAGACUGUGCUACAAAUAAAUUUAACAGCAACGAAAGUAGCAGAAGUGCCUCUGAUAUUCUUGAAACUAACGUUGUUGAUCUUAAUUUUUGAUGGAAUCUGAACAAAUGUAUACAUAAAGAAAACCAAAAAUUAAAUCAGGUUAGUUUUGCAUUUGUUAUAUAUAAGAAAAAAUAUUCCUUAAUUGAAGUUAAUUAAUUAAUUAGUUGAAAUUUAUGAAUAAGGAAUAAUUUCAAUACAUAUACCUUUUUGUUGCAUUGAUUAGAUGGACAAUAUUCUUGGUCAAUAAUCACAGGAUUGCUAACAUUAACCAUUUCAAUAUCUUCAAAAUGCAAGUCAGAGGCUGUGUAUGCAACUGCACAAUCUGGCCAUGUCUUGAUUCUAACACCAUUUGAAGUAUUGAUAAGUUUACAUGAUUUCACUGUAACUCCUGCCACCUCUUUCUCCUUGGUGUACUUGCCUAAACUUCCUAUACUUAUGCCAUGACCUGGUCCGCAAGUUACAUUAGUAAUAGUUAUUUGCUUGUUGCUGUCUCCAACAGAUAUACAAUCAUCUCCGGUUGAGAUACGUGUAUUGAAAAUGUUAAUCACUUCUGAACUGCUCACAUGAAUUCCAUCGGUGUUGGGACUAUUCUCUGGUGCAAUAAUUGUCACAUUUUGAAAAGUAACAUUCUUGCAACCCAAAAGAUUGAAGUGAAAAUUCUUACUAUCCAACGAAGUUAUGUCCUUCACCAUUGAAUUGGUUACGAAACUGAACUUCACAUUCUUACAAAUUUAACCCCGGCCCGCCCCACAAAAAGAAAAGGUAUCCGAGUUAAAAACAAUGCAUUAUGUUAAUCGACAAAAUUAUAUAAUCAACGAGAUUAAAAAGAAAGAAGCUAAUACAAUUAGAGAAUUAAUUUACCAUAGGAAGUUUAGUGCAUAUUUUCUUCAGGUGACAAUCAUUCUUUUCCCAACCUUUUUCUCCUUGACCAUCAAAAGCACCUGUGCCUGACAAUGUCAAUUGAUCGAUAUAUUGAAAAAGAACCAACCCAUCUCCUAUUGGAUCUGGAUGAGCUUGUAAUGUUCCUUCCAUCCGAACCUCAAUAGUACUUUUGCAAGGACCAUGGAGAAUGGAUUGGUUUAGAUGGUAAACUCCCAUUGGAAUCAACAAUUUACUAGAAUAGGUCGAUGCACAUGCAUCCUUCCAUGCAUUUGCCAAAGCCUAUAAAUUGUGAAUCAUUUGAUUAAACAAAAAAAAAAAUACAUAAAGUACGAAAUUUAUCAAGUUAAUAUAUAUUUACCUGAGUAAUAUCAGUAUUAGGUUUGGCACCAUAUGUAGUGAUAUCAAAAAUGGAUUGACCUUUUGCAGUUGAUGCCAACAUUAACAACAAAUGUAAUAGUAAUGUCAUAAUGUUUGACCUCAAUCCCAUCAUUUUUAUUUAUUGCCUUCUGCUUUUUGCUUAUGAUCUUCUCUUUAUUCUAAUUGUUAAUUAACUAUGAAAAUGGAAUGAAUGAUUCAAAUAUAUGUGCAGUCAUUCAACCCUUCUUUAUACUUUCCAAAAAAAUUUGGUUGCUAAAUUUGAAAAUGAUCGUUGAAAUAUUGAAGUUAAACCAUUAGCUGUGUGUCAUAAAAUUAGCCAUUUCAUGACAAUUGGAAUUUAUUAAUCAUUCCCUCAAUUCAAUCAAAUUUCUGUUCGAGAACAACUCAAAAAAGGAAGAAUUGAGAAUUUUGGUGAAAAAAGUAUUAGAAAUUUUCACUUUAUUUUUCUCAUUCAUAACUCCUAAUAAGUAGAUAGGUCCACAUGUUUCAUGUUACGUAGAUAUAUUUAUUUCAAUGCUUAUUAAAUUUUGAUGGUGAAAUUCAAACUUUUAAUUAAAUUAAUCAUUCAGUUAUAUUUAUUUACUAUAAAUUGAGUGCGAGGAUUUGAACUAAGUUUUCUUAGUUCUCAAAUAUUUAUGAGUGUUAAUAUUCAUAAGUGUGGAUUGAGGUAAGCAUAUGCUAAAUGAAGUUUAAAAUAUUACUUUUCUGUACAUGUGGUAAUAAAAUAAUAAUAAAAUAUCACCAAAAGUAAAUAAAUAUCUAAUCGAGAUCGAUAUAUUAUUGAUACUUUUAUUGACAUACUCAUAAGAUUGAGAAAUACCAGCAUCUUCAUUUACAUUGACAUCUAUGUGACUAGUCAAUUUUAACAAGAACUUUUAAAAUAUAAACAAAAUUAUAUCAUAAAACUAAAUGAAAAAAUUUUGUUUUAAAUGACAAAAUGGUUAAAUAUAUAAUAUUUAUAAAUAUAGCAAAAUUUUACUUUUAAUUUAUGAUAAGUAGAUGUAAACGUAGAUGGUAGACAUCUCUCUAUUGCUGUAGUCUCUAUUGCAUUUCUAUUAAAGUUAUGGAAAUAAAACCGUAAUUACACUAAAUCAAAAUAUGAUGGUAGAUAUUAUAAAAAUCUGAUAAAAAGCAGAUCUUUGCAAUAACAUACUAAAACCCAAACAUGGGGAAAAGAAAAACUACAGAAGCCACUCCUUCCAUUCCCCAUGAAUUUAUUUCUCAAACUUCCACACUUCACACAUUUCAUCAAACACAAACUUUUUACUUUUUUUAUUAUUUCAUCCCAUAUUCCACACCUUGUCUUAUGGUUUUGCACCCUCUACUACUUCACCAGCGUACCUGCAGCACCUGUACACGCAUGGACCAUAUGUGCAACCUCUGCCGUAGCCACCACUAUAGCCACCAAGACCGAAGUCAUCACGACCAUAGCCACCACGAUGCUAACCACCACCACCGCUGUAGAUUUUGUCGUUCCGUCCUCCAUACUUAGCAUCCUCUACGCCAUUGGUUUCCACUGUGGCCUCUGCAAUGAAGGCGAGAAGAAGGCCGAGGAAAACAAAGGCUUUUGAACUCAUGUUUGUGUUUAAUAAGAGAUUGCUUUUGGGAGAUAUGGAUGAGAAAGAUUUGAAUUCUUAUGGUAUUUAUUGGUACAUAAAAGAGAAAGGGAGAUGAGAAUAUUGAGACAAUUGCAAUUAAAGACUGGCCCGUAAUUUAGUUGGGCAUUAGAUGAACUGAUUGAGAAGUAUUCUGAAAUGAAGAAGGAAAUUAAAAUUUGAGUCAGCUCUCUUAAAUAAUCUUUAUCGUUUAAAUGAUUUGUAAUUAGUCAAACUCUUUAGUAGUGUGACUGUAUCAAACUCCAAGAGCUUCUUUUAGCCAAUUAUCAAUAAUAAUAAUAAAUAUAAUUCUGGAAAAACAAUUUCUAGCAUGCUUUCAUUUUCUAUUCCUAAACUUGGUAAACAAAAUUCUUUGUCUUAAAAAUUAAAACUAAUAUUUUCAUAAAUUAUUUAGCAAAGUUGUUGGAAUAUGGACUGGUUUAUGAUUGUACCAAACAGCAAAAACAAGUUACAAACUACGAACCCAACUAUAUCGUUUAGAAACUGAGAGACCCACGUGGCGGAUGUUGCCUCACCCAAAAGCCACCGGAAAUUGCCUUCACUGGAGACCCACAUGUCGAACAACCAACUGCAAACCCCAAGAACAACCACGGCUGAAACAACCUCUCUGAUGGCUCGAACCCACUGCUAAACCAGCCGCCACACCGCGCGAAAUCCGCCGGUAGAACAUGGAAACUCGCCGACGUUAAAGCUCAGUCAGACGCCGUACUGCCCGAAAAACGAGACCGAAACGCGGAUGCUAAAGCUCUCUCCUCACCGGAAAACGCCCGACCCGACGAAGAACCUCAGAAUCUCCGUCGCGUGGCCGUCCGGUAAACGCCAUCAACGUCAACCCGUUCACCGUCGGCCCCUGCUCUUCUCUCUACUGUGUUUGUAGAAGAAACUUCAACUUUCCUCUCUCUCUAUUCUUGUGUAUUGCGGCAACCCCUCACCUCUCUCCUUUUCUUUUCACUGUAUUAAAAAUGGCAAGUGAUGUGAAUAAUUGCAAAAAUGUGUUCUUGUUAUUCCGCCAUCAACAAAACUAAAAAAACUUUGUUUAUUAAGAAAAUAAAUAAUCCACGUUGUUUAUUUCUUACAUUCUUUCAUAUUUCUUUAAUAAAAUAAGAGAACUUUUCUUUAUGUAUCACGGUGAAGAUAGAUAUUGUAUUAAGAAAAAUAUAUUUCUUAAUGAUCAUUUAUCAUGACCAUCAAGAAAUUAAAAAAUUGUGUUCCAAACCCUACAUCUCUCUUAAUGCAUCCUCUUUCACAAAUACUUCCGUUCCAAAAUAAUUACAGUCUGAGAAAAGUUUAGAGAGUAAAAACAAUUUCUCUCUCAAACAUUAAACCAAUAUAUAUAAAUGAUCCAUACAUAUAUAUAUGUGGAAAGUUCAAUAUGAAAUAUGUUAACAGUAUUGGUAAAAAUACUAUAUAUGGAUGGUCGUAAAAGAAAUACGUACUUUUUAAAAGUUGAACUUCCUCUUCAUCUCUGAUUGGAGAUAUUUGUUGAAAACUCCAAUAACACCUCAAAAUAAUAAUAGUAAUAAUUAUUACUAUUAUUAUUAUUACUAUUAUUGCGUAGGAUAGAACACCAUGAAAUGUUGAUAAAUUUAUUUAAUUGUGUCCUUGUCACUUGUCAGUACCACCAUAAACUUUAGAUAAUGCAGGCUGAGCAAACAUUUUUUUACUUUCUUUUCUCAUUUGUAUGCAAAAUAUAUUGCCACCAUAUAUCGUUUUGACUAAAGACGAAAGAAAGCGUGUAUACCUUAACUAUUAAAAUUUAUGUUCAAGUUAUGGAAAUAAAACCCUUAAUUACACAAAAUGAAAAUAUGUUUGUUGAUAUUAUAAAAUUUUACAAAAACCAAAUCUUUGCAAUAACAUACUAAAACCCAAACAUGGGGAAAAAGAAAAACUACAGAACCCACUCCUUCCAUUCCCCAUCUAUUUAUUUCUCAAACUUCUACCGUUCACACAUUUAACCAAACACACAAACUUUAAACCUUUUUAUUAUUUCAUCCCAUUCUACACCUUCUCUUAGGGUUUUGCACCCUCUACCACUUCACCAGCGUAGCUGCAGCACUUGUGCCCACAUCGACCAUAUCGGCAACCUCUGCCGUAGCCACCACGGCCACCACCAUAGCCUCCACGGCCACCGUAAUGACCACGACCAUACCCACCACGACCACCGCCAUAGCCUCUGUCGUACCCACCGCCAUAGCCUCUGUCGUACCCUCCACCAUAGCCUCUGUCGUACCCUCCACCAUAGCCUCUGUCGUACCCACCUCUUCCAUACUUGGCAUCCUCUACGCCAUUGGUUUCCACUGUGACCUCUGCAAUGUUAUAUUUAAAAUUAAUCCUUAACUUUACGAAAAUGUUAUAUAAAAUCAAAAUCUGUAUAUAAAGAUGUUAAAUAAUGAGUAUAUAUAUUUUACAUGAGUUUUUUCUUAAUAUUCGUGUCUGUUCGGAGUUAGUUUAUGUGUACCUAAACUAAGUUUACCGAACAAAUUUGGAUGUGAAAGGAACAAGCACAAAGAAUAUUAAAUCAUCAAUAGAAGACUACUAUGCAUUCAACUUCUUAGAUGACUUAAAAUUUAUUAUAACAUAAAACUCACCGUUGUCAGUCUUGGAGGAGGUCUCCGCAAGGUCCCUUGCAGCCACUUCAGAGGAGAGGAGAAGAACGAAGGCGAGAAGAAGGCCAAGGAAAACAAAGGCUUUGGAACUCAUAUUUGUGUGUAUUGUAAGAGAUUGGUUUUGGGGGAGAGGGAUGAGAAAGAUUUGCAUUCUUAUGGAGGUAUUUAUAGGUCCAUAAAAGGGAAAGUGAGAUGAGAAUUGAGACAAUGGCAAUGGCAAUUAAAGACUGGCCCAUAAUUUGGUUGGGUGUUAGAUGAACUGAUUGAGAAGUAUUUUGAAAUGAAGAAGAAAAUUUGAGUCAGCUCUCUUCAAAAAUCUUUAUCUUUUAAAUGAUUUGUAAUCAGUCAAACUCUUUAGUAGUGUGACUGUAUCAAACUCCAAGAGCUUCUUCUAUCCAAUUAUCAAUAAUAAUAAUAUAAUUAUGGAAAAACAAUUUGUAGCAUGCUUUCAUUUUCUAUUUCCUAAACUUGGUAAACAAAGUUAUUUGUCUUAAAAAUUAAAACUAAUAUUUUUCAUAAAUUACUUACCAAAAUCUAUCAAGUAAAUACUGUAGGUUAGUUAUUUAGGGUUCAUUUUUUUCACCUUGUGUUUUUUCUUAAAAAAAUUGAUGUUUAAUUAGAUUUUUUUUUCUAUUAAUGAUUGAUUUGUUUUGGUAUAUCAUUUUCGAUCCAAUAUAACAAAAUGAACAAAAUAUGUGACAUUUUUUAAAAUAAAAAAUAAAUUAAAAUAUUUACAAAGUAUAACAAAAUUUUAAAUUCUAUCAAUGAUAGAAACUGAUAUGCUACUAUCACUGUCUAUCCAUCUCACUAAUAGAAACAUGUUAAUGUCUAUCAAUGUCUAUUAUUGAUAAAAUAUGAAAAUCGUACUAUUUGUUGUAAAUAUUUUGUCAAAUUUACUAUUUUUUACCAUUCUCUCUUAAAAAAAUAUUUAUAAAUACAGUAAAUUUCAAAAUCUAUCAAAGAAAUUGGUAGAAAUAUUUAUAUAGUAUAUGUGAUAUAAAUAAACACUAAUAUGAUUGAAGUUUUUUGUGUCUACUAAUAUCUAUAUUUUUUAUAUUUCUAAAUUUGGCUAUAUUUAUAAAUAUUUUCAAGAAUUUUAGUUUAUACAUUUUCAAAUGGUUUAUCUUAUAUAAAAUUUGAAUAGACAAACAUAAAAUAAAGCACAGCACAAUAAAGAAAACGUUAUUGAAUAGCUUCCACUGAACCCAAUUUGCAAAUAUCAUUGAUAUUUGUAAUAUUCUUUUAAUGCUAUGUUUUCUUACAAGAUAACGAGAGGAUAUUUUUAUAUUUAUGUGAAACUCAUCAACUUAUAUGAAAAUGUCAAAACAACAUUUAUUUAUUUCAUACUCUUCAACUUGGUGUCUGUCAUUCUUUAAAUAGAAUUUUCAAAGCUCAUAAAAAUCUCUCGAAAUUUGAGAAGAUAUCAACGCCCUUACGGAUCAUUGGACAAGCAUAUCUCCUCUCUUCAAAAAUUAUUUUGAUAGCUCUAUUGCUCUAAGUAUUUAUGCUUUUGUUUAAUUGUACUGACUUUGGGUCUUUCUUGGACUUUCCUCUAACCCUUGCUUUUGUUUUCCCUUCUUUCCAUAUUAUCUAUUAUAUAUUAAUGAAGCAUGAAUGAUGAUGAUGCUACGAAGGUACUGUUCACAUAGUGGAGAUGAUGAGAUGUCUUAGUGCAUCUAUUGACCUAUCUCGUAUCUUUUUUAAAAAAAAAAAAACAUUUAUAUAUUUCGUAUACUAUAAUUUUGCAAUAAAUUUAAGAGACCUUUAUAAAACUAACUCCCAAACUAUGCGGGGUAGUGAUAGUUGUGAAACCUAUUUCUAAUUUGAGUAUAGAAAGUAAAAUUUGGUUAAGUAUUUUGAAAAUUUGUAUUUUGGAUAAGAGGAGACAUUUUGAAAUAAGACUUUGCGAUAAGAAGUAUGUGUUUGAAUCAAUCCACAGAAAUGAUUAAGUGAUAAAAUCUUUUAUGGUUAAGUAUAAGUUUUGUUAUUAAGAAGUUAAUUCACGAGGGAGUUUUGAGAAAAGAAUGAUUUGCAAUAGGACCUAUAAACACUUUCAAUAGAAAGAGUCUUCACGAGAAAAUGUUGAAGUUAUUCGUAGAAUGGAAAUAGGCGAGAAGUAAGGUCUGGCAAAGAAAACGUCUAUCUGAUUUGACAGGGGUUAAUGUGUAAGAUUAAAGGUUUAAGCAUGACUGAGUUAAAUAUUAAAUUUACAUGUGUAAAGUUUUAAUCAGGAACCAGCGAACUUAAAAGAGUUUAAGCAUGACUAAGUUAGUUUAAGAGCUAUGUAAAUAAAGGACCUAGUCAUUAAGUAAGCACAUAGAUUUUAUUAAAAAAAAAUUACUAAAAUGUUGUUGUUUUGCUUGACGAGAAAAAGAAAAAAAAAAACAAAGUGUUAAGUGCUACGAUGUGUUUCACAAGAAGGCUCCACAAAAGAAAAGGAAGAGAAGGAUUUUUGAUAAAGUGUGGGAAUGUUUUCUCUUAAAUGAAUUAAUUAUGUUAAAAAAUUUAUUAUAAUUUCUCUUUACUUAUUUAAAAGAAGAAUUCCAAUGAUAAGUGUUUCAAAUGAAAUUUAUAUCAAAAGUCUAUAUGUUUUCAAGUAUGAUUUAUAAUGUUAAAGUUGUUUUCUUGAGAUGAUGCUAACUUUUAUGUGCACAUAAAGAGUCAAGGUUACUAUGGGGUGUACAAGGCUACAUGGUGAUAAGAAGCUGGUUUAUGCUUUGAAAUGAGCGUAUAAAGCUUAGUUGGCCUGAGCAACAAGGACAAUCUGUAUGUUUUCGGAUGUUGUUGAUACAACAGUCUAAAUGUAGGGUAAUGAGACCAAACGUAGAAAACGAUUCGAGAUCCUUGAUGAAAAGUAUAAUUGACUAAUGGGUGUUAUUGUGAAAUGAAUCUUGAUGUGAUUCACAAGUUGAACUAAUUUUAUUGUAAAAAUGAUUAUAUACGUUUUGAUAUGUUUUGCCAAAUGAAGUGUUUAUUGAUAAACUGAUUUGUGUUGAAAUUUAUGAUUUGACGAAAAACAUUUUCAAAGAGCAUUGCAAAAAGGAUUUCAUUAAAACCUCACUAAAUCUUUUAAACUUGCAUUUUAAAUUUUAUCUUCCAAGAUUUAGCAUUUAGGCCAAUUAAAGAAGAAGGUUGAAGGGCUUGCGGCAAGUUGAGAAAGCCACGAGGCGUUAAAGAGCUUUGAUCGAUAAAUGUUAAUUAUUUGAUCAAAAUGUUGUAAUUGUUUGUUCAUACCAAACGCCUGUUAUUAAUAUAUUAAAGUGUGUGUUUCAGGUUAUGUUACUUAUUGUACUUGGCAUUUAAAGUUGAUUUUCGCUACGUUUUGAGUUUCACUUCAUAGUUUGAAAGGAGUUGAGAAUAAGCUAGGCAGUAAGACUAAUUGUAAAGUUUAAUUAAAGUUAAAUCUUGUAAAGUUUAAAGUUAAAUCAUGUAAAGUUUAAAGUUAAAUCACGUCCUAUCCGCACAACUUCCUGCAAUUUUGUUGUCGGAACAGAGUGUGACAAUAGCGAUGCACCUAAACUAAAUUUACUAUUUUGGUUGUUACAGUGGUCGAUAUGAAUAUAGAUCAAUGGAAAGAAGAAUAUCAACAUCCUCUCUAAAACUUAAAUAUAUUAAUCUAAAAUUUUCAUUUUUAUGUUAAAUUGAGAAGAAGAAGAAAAAAAAAAGAAACGAAAGCAAAAGUAUUAGGUAAUAAAAAUAUUUUGAAGAUGAAAAAAAUUUGAAGUACUCUUGAAAGCAUGAAUAAAUAAAAUUUGGUUCCACUUGUAUUGUUGAAUAUCCUCUUGUUCCUUUCCAACCAAAUGUUCCAGAUAACCCCAUCAACAGACUGUAAUUGUUGAUUUCAUAACACACAAACUUGAAAUCAACAAUUAAGUAAUAGAAGACCGUAAAGAUCGACACACAGAUAAAACAUGGUUCACUAACAGUGUAUUAGCAACUACAUCCACAAACAAAGGAAGAAAAAAUAUGGUUAGGAGAGAGUGUUUUCUAAUACAAAUGUAGCUGGAUAGAGUGCAUCCAAUGAAAUUCUCAUUGUUUUGGUUGCAGACCGAGCACGCCAACUUGGAUUAAGGCAGUGAUUUGGGAGGCUAUUUAGCAGAAUAAUCUCCACAGUGUUUCCCGGGUAGAAUUUAGCAUAAGAAAAAAUUUCACUUCUUAAUUAGAAUGGGAGAUUUUUACAAAUUAUUAAAGAUUGUCAGGACUAAGAUUUUCUAUCUUUGGAAGAUCAUUUCCUCUUUCCUCGUUAGGCUUAGGGAAAGA